rnacentral:lncRNA from 1 species
CCUCCCCUUGAGUGGUUCUGUGAUUUGUUUCUAAGCCUUAGAAUAUGGCACAGAUGAUGGGAUAUUAAUUUUGGGAUAAUGUUACAUGAGGCUGUAACUUUCCUCUUGCUCAUUUUGCUUGCAAACUCUAUUGACUCUCCCUGAGCAGGCUCUGAGGAAGUAAACCUCUUUAUGGAGAAGCCCAUGUGACAAGGAACUGAAGGUGGCCUCCAGCCAACAGCCCUCGGUAAGGAAGUGAAUCCUGCCCAUGACACAUGAGCUUGAAGGUGGAUUCUUUCACAGUCGAGUCUCAGAAGAUACUCCAGCCCUGCCAACACCUUCACUGUGGCACCAGAGACCCUGAGCCAGAGGACCCAGAUAAGUCAUGCCCAGAUUCCUGCUCAACAGUAAUGGUGAACUGGAGAUGUAACGACUUCCUUUUUUGUCUUGGAAGAUUCCUAAAUGUCAUUGAGAGACCCAAGACGUCUCAAUCUCACUUAAUGCAAACGGAAAACCAAGGGUUUUUAAAGGUGAAAUGGAUCUUGCUAAUGAAGAAGUAUCACUCUUCGUGGGGCAUGCAGCUUGUUAGUUCAAGUUAGAAUUCUGGGCAGUAGGCGUGUGCCAAGCUGCAAGACUUUUUCUCCUCCUAAAUGAAUCGUGCAGUAAAUUGGGCAUUUGGAUCUUUCCCUUGUGAAGCUAUCUCACAAGUUUGACUGUUGACAUCUUGGGAAACAGUAUCCUACUGGAUAUGGUUGGAGACACCCUGCUUUGGAGAGAUGAUGAUGAGUAUGAAUAUAGUAAAUAAGUCAUAGAUAGACAGUCCGAUGGAAUAUAGUAAAUAAGUCAUAGAUAGACAGUCCGAUGUCACGCGCUGACACUUUUAAUAAUAGUGCCCUCCUCUAGGGCUACUGUGAAGCCUAAAUGAGCUAAGUAAUAUAAAGUACUUACACCAGUGUUUGGCAUAUACAAAUAUUUAAUAAACUUUGUCAUUGCAUCAUCAUUAUUAUUAGAACAGAGUGGAGACUCACCCGUUCUACUGGCAACUGGAGUUUGUUCAAGAAAUACCUGAGUUGGUUCUUUAACUGUCGAGUUCGAUUGUCCAAGUGGAAGGGUGGGAGUCUCAGGGGAGAGCAUGCCAGGCAGAAGAAACAGCACAAGCAGACAUCCGGGGACAUGAACCAGCAGUAAAGCAGGGGUCCAUACAUUUAGAUAGAGUAUGAGUAGAUCAAUGCUCAAAAACUAUCCUAAAACUAAAAGAAGAUUGGAAUAUCAAUCAUACACCACACACCUCCUUGCAGCUCCUUUACAAAAGUCCCUGGGGAACAAGUUGCUUCAGUUCAUGGCAUCAAUACCCAAGGCUCAUUAUUAAAUACUAUUGUAGUGAUGCUUCAAAUUAAAUCUAGAUAUUAUUCACUGCCACAUCUCUUCCCAAACUUAUUAUUUCCAGGAAAACUCUUAAGCAACAAAUUCAGUGAAUUGGUACAACCACCAUGUUUACUGACACUUUCUAGAAGCUCUACCUUCUCAAAUGUUCUUACCGAUAUGACAUUUUUAGUAUAAAAUACCAACACUUAAGGCAAAGGAAAUUCCUACUGUUUG